GGAGAAAGCAGGGGAUCGCAAGACCUUGCGCUUUUGGAGCGGCCGAUGUCUGAUUAGCUUGUUGGUAAGGUAAAAGCUUACCAAGGCUUCGAUCAGUAGCUGGUCUGAGAGGACGACCAGCCACACUGGGACUGAGACACGGCCCAGACUCCUACGGGAGGCAGCAGUGGGGAAUUUUGGACAAUGGGGGCAACCCUGAUCCAGCCAUGCCGCGUGAGUGAAGAAGGCCUUCGGGUUGUAAAGCUCUUUCAGCCGGAACGAAACGGUUACGGUUAAUACCCGUGACUACUGACGGUACCGGAAGAAGAAGCACCGGCUAACUACGUGCCAGCAGCCGCGGUAAUACGUAGGGUGCGAGCGUUAAUCGGAAUUACUGGGCGUAAAGCGUGCGCAGGUGGUUUUGUAAGUCAGAUGUGAAAUCCCCGGGCUCAACCUGGGAACUGCGUUUGAAACUACAAAGCUAG
rnacentral:rRNA from 1 species